rnacentral:rRNA from 1 species
UACGUAGGUGGCAAGCGUUGUCCGGAUUUACUGGGCGUAAAGAGCGCGCAGGCGGUCGCUCAAGUCGCGUGUGAAAGCCCCCGGCUCAACUGGGGAGGGUCACGCGAUACUGAUCGACUGGAAGGCAGGAGAGGGUAGUGGAAUUCCCGGUGUAGUGGUGAAAUGCGCAGAUAUCAGGAGGAACACCGGUGGCGAAGGCGGGUCUCUGGGCCGAUAUUGACGCUGAGGAGCGAAAGCGUGGGGAGCGAACAGG